AGCUUGCUAUCAGGCGUCGAGCGGCGGACGGGUGAGUAAUACUUAGGAAUCUACCUAGUAGUGGGGGAUAGCACGGGGAAACUCGUAUUAAUACCGCAUACGACCUACGGGAGAAAGGGGGCAGUUUACUGCUCUCGCUAUUAGAUGAGCCUAAGUCGGAUUAGCUAGAUGGUGGGGUAAAGGCCUACCAUGGCGACGAUCUGUAGCUGGUCUGAGAGGAUGAUCAGCCACACCGGGACUGAGACACGGCCCGGACUCCUACGGGAGGCAGCAGUGGGGAAUAUUGGACAAUGGGGGAAACCCUGAUCCAGCCAUGCCGCGUGUGUGAAGAAGGCCUUUUGGUUGUAAAGCACUUUAAGCAGUGAAGAAGACUCCGUGGUUAAUACCCACGGACGAUGACAUUAGCUGCAGAAUAAGCACCGGCUAACUCUGUGCCAGCAGCCGCGGUAAUACAGAGGGUGCAAGCGUUAAUCGGAAUUACUGGGCGUAAAGGGAGCGUAGGUGGCUCGAUAAGUCAGAUGUGAAAUCCCCGGGCUCAACCUGGGAACUGCAUCUGAUACUGUUGAGCUAGAGUAUGUGAGAGGAAGGUAGAAUUCCAGGUGUAGCGGUGAAAUGCGUAGAGAUCUGGAGGAAUACCGAUG
rnacentral:rRNA from 1 species